GCGGGAAUAGCUCAGUCGGUAGAGCACAACCUUGCCAAGGUUGGGGUCGCGAGUUCGAGCCUCGUUUCCCGCU
rnacentral:tRNA from 1 species